GAAGCAUGUCAGGGAUUAACGUC
rnacentral:siRNA from 1 species